rnacentral:rRNA from 1 species
GACGAACGCUGGCGGCGUGCUUAACACAUGCAAGUCGAGCGGAAAGGCCACUUCGGUGGUACUCGAGCGGCGAACGGGUGAGUAACACGUGAGUAAUCUGCCCUGGACUUUGGGAUAGCCACCGGAAACGGUGAUUAAUACCGGAUACGACGACUCCACGCAUGUGGUGGUUGUGGAAAGUUUUUUCGGUUCAGGAUGUGCUCGCGGCCUAUCAGCUUGAUGGUGGGGUAAUGGCCUACCAUGGCUUCGACGGGUAGCCGGCCUGAGAGGGUGACCGGCCACACUGGGACUGAGACACGGCCCAGACUCCUACGGGAGGCAGCAGUGGGGAAUAUUGGACAAUGGGCGGAAGCCUGAUCCAGCAACGCCGCGUGAGGGAUGACGGCCUUCGGGUUGUAAACCUCUUUCAGUACCGACGAAGCGAAAGUGACGGUAGGUACAGAAGAAGCACCGGCCAACUACGUGCCAGCCGCCGCCGUAACAC